UGUGUGCGUGUGUGCCUGUGCGUGUGCAUGUGCAUGUGUGUGUGCGUGCAUGUGUGUGUGCGUGCAUGUGUGUGUGCAUGUGUGUGUGCAUGUGCAUGUGUGUGCGUGUGCAUGUGUGUG
rnacentral:miRNA from 1 species